GUCUACGGCCAUGGCACCCUGAACGCGCCCAAUCUCGUCUGAUCUCGGAAGCUAAGCAGGGUUGGGCCUGGUUAGUACUUAAAUGGGAAGAAUGGUUUUAGUUUAGUAGUUGUGACA
rnacentral:rRNA from 1 species